CACAGACCGUUCUCCUGUCCCUGCUUUGGAUGCCAUGUGAACAGCAGAGUUCAUAACUGACACGGGAGGCUUGAAGAGGCUAUCGCUAUCAGUGCAGCACAGUAAAGUGGUGAAGAUGUUCUUCUGCUCACAGUUUGGAAGCAAAUUGGCAGAUCUGCAGCUGGAGCAUAUGUCAGCAUUACCUUCGAUCAAAAUGCUUCACGGAACUAUUCAUGUUAGUAUCACAAAAAAUAAAGGCUUGGCUUAUCAUUUUGCCCCACUCUUCCCUGUCUUUCUCCCUCCCCCAAGGAGCCUCCAGCACCCCUGCUGAUGGGGAUGCAGGUUCAAGCACGCAUCUCACCAACCACACACGUGGAC